CAGUAAUGGAGUGAAAGAGCCCAGGAGUGUUUUGUUGACGAGGGAACAGUCAAUGGAUCCUUCAGUGCAUUAUGAAGGUGGAGAUUCUCCUGCACUCAGGCAGAAGAGAUCAGACUCACCAGAGCCCAGCUGUGUGUCCACGAGCAGUGACACGUCAAAGGAUCUGCCAUUUGCUUUAUUUAAAGGUGGCAGCAAUUCUCCAGGCAGGCAGAAUACGUCAGACUCACCAGAGCCCAGCUGCGUGUCCAUGAGCAGUGACACAUCAAAGGAUCUGCCAUUUGCUUUAUUUAAAGGCAGCUUCAACUCUCACCACAGGUAAAUUUACAAUUAGGACGUAAUGCUAUAGUCAGUAUUGGAAAUACUUGCUUACACAUUUUAGUAUGCACUAAAUGUGUAAUUUAAUUCUUC
ensembl:lncRNA